rnacentral:rRNA from 1 species
UACGAAGGGGGCUAGCGUUGUUCGGAAUUACUGGGCGUAAAGCGCGCGCAGGCGGUUUUCCAAGUCAGUGGUGAAAGCCCGGAGCUCAACUCCGGAAUUGCCAUUGAAACUGUUGAACUCGAGGACGAGAGAGGUGAGUGGAAUUCCCAGUGUAGAGGUGAAAUUCGUAGAUAUUGGGAAGAACACCGGUGGCGAAGGCGGCUCACUGGCUCGUUUCUGACGCUCAGGCGCGACAGCGUGGGGAUCAAACAGG